CUGUAUAUACAUAUAUAUAAAGCUGUAUGCAUAACAUAACCGCAGCCACUACCUUAUAAUUUGGUGCGUCCUAUACAGUAAACACUCCCAUCUCUGGAAUUCUAUGAAAAUUCACCCGGAAUAAAAACCUAUGCAUUAACAUUUUGAUUACGAUAUUACAUGUUAUCGGAACUUACGUAAGCGGAAAUUCUACUAGCCGAAACCCGGAUGGAGACGGAAGGCCGGGGGAGCUUAAAUACAUGGAACGCCCACCCGAUGCGACAGAAGACACGUUUUCACUUCGCCUUUUUCUAUCAUCAGAUCCGAAAAGACGACGGAUCUCGGCACUAGCUUAAAAAGCAGCACCCACUCGACACGACGGAAGAAACGUGUUCGCUUCGCCGUUUUCAUUCAUCAGAUUCGAAACGACGACGUAUCAUCGCAUCGAAACGUAGAAGAACUGUAACGAUUGGAGCGGAGCGAGUGAAAUGGAUCCGUUUGAGCGAGGCUGGACACAAAGUUAAAAAGAUCCAGCAGACACUUGGAGUCGGAAAGACGCAAAUCUACGAAACUUUAAAAAACAAGGCAUCGAUUCAACUCCUGAUGGAUGACAAGCCACCAUCCAGCAGGGAAGCAAUGCAAAUGGCAACAAAAAUUCUUUAGUAUGCACACGAAUCGCCAGACAUCGGGAUCAACGGGACAGUUACUUGCAACUAGCAAGAAAACUGUAUGACACGCAGGCAAACAUUGUCAUAAACCAAAGAAUGCAUCCAACAAAACAAUCCAAAA